rnacentral:rRNA from 1 species
UACGGGGGGAGCAAGCGUUGUUCGGAUUUACUGGGCGUAAAGGGCGCGUAGGCGGCGCAACAAGUCACUUGUGAAAUCUCCGGGCUUAACCCGGAGCGGUCAAGUGAUACUGUCGUGCUAGAGUGCGGAAGGGGCUACUGGAAUUCUCGGUGUAGCGGUGAAAUGCGUAGAGAUGCGGAGGAACACCGGAUGGCGCAAGGCAGCCCCCUGGGCCAAUACUGACGC